GGUUCCAUAGUGUAGUGGUUAGCAUGUCUGCUUUACACGCAGAAGGUCCUGGGUUCGCACCCCAGUGGAGUCA
rfam:Pteropus alecto contig107881, whole genome shotgun sequence.